GUCUACGGCCAUACCACCCUGAACACGCCCGAUCUCGUCUGAUCUCGGAAGCUAAGCACGGUCGGGCCUGGUUAGUACUUGGAUGGGAGAAUAGAACCAGAAAUGCCACAAUGA
rnacentral:rRNA from 1 species